rnacentral:tRNA from 1 species
GACCCGCUAGCUCAGCAGGUAGAGCACCUGACUUUUAAUCAGGGGGUCGUGGGUUCGAAUCCCGCGCGGGUCACCA